CUUGAAUACUUAUAAGAGGUCCAGCCUGCCCAGUGACUCUGUUUAACGGCCGCGGUAUCCUAACCGUGCGAAGGUAGCGUAAUCACUUGUUCUUUAAAUAAGGACUAGUAUGAAUGGCACCACGAGGGUUAUACUGUCUCCCCCUUUUAAUCAGUGAAACUAAUCUCCCCGUGAAGAAGCGGGGAUGUUUUUAUAAGACGAGAAGACCCUAUGGAGCUUUAAACUAUCUUUCAAUUACUAUUUGACUUACCAAGCUAAUGCAAAAACAAUUAACCUAGUUUUAUGAGAGCUAGUUUUAGGUUGGGGUGACCACGGAGUAAAAAAUAACCUCCGAGUUGUAAGAGACCCAUCUCUGAGCCGUAAGCUACAACUUUAAGCACCAAUUUAUUGACAUCUAUUGACCCAAAAUUUUGAUCAACGAAC
rnacentral:rRNA from 1 species